rnacentral:lncRNA from 1 species
GCGAGUUUGUAUCUCAGGACUUCCCAGGUUGAUAUUGAAAGUUUUCCUGCAGGGGUUAGUCCGACAAAAUAUACCAAUGUCUACACAAGCAGUUUUUAGUUCAAUAACCGAACUAGACUCCAUGUCUAAUCAGAUUAAGGAAGGCUGUUUAACCUAAGCAUCAUGCUUAAUUUAAAAGCCAAUAGAAGUAUGUGCAGUACUUCCAAACUAACACUUACUAGGAUAAACAAAGGUAGUGUGAUGGCAUUUAUAUAGAUCUACUCAAGUGGAGAUUAAGUAGCGUGAUUAGUAUUUAACAAAUUGAACAUGUCUCAAAGGUAAGG